GUGCUCGCUUCGGCAGCACAUGCACUAAAAUUGGAAUGAUGCAGAGAAGAUGGGCACAGCCCCUGCGCAAAGAUGACGCGCAACCUCGUGGAAAAGAGAAAGCGGCCU